rnacentral:SRP_RNA from 2 species
GCCAGGCGUGGUGGUGCACGCCUGUAAUCCCAGCUACUCAGGAGGCUGGGGCAGGAGAAUCGCUUGAACCUGGGAGGCAGAGAUUGCAGUGAGCUGGGAUCAUGCCACUGCAGUCCAGCCUGGGUAACAGAGUGAGACUCUAUCCCAA